GAUUUCUGGUUCGGCGCAUUUGGCCCGUCUCGGUUUACGGGAUUGUGUGCCGACGUGCGCCAUCCACCCUUCGAGAGAACACUUCUACCCUUCACUGGGUCGGGAGUGCUAUCUCGAUCUUUUACUUUGAAAAAAUUAGAGUGUUUAAAGCAGGCUUGCGCUAUGAAUACAUUAGCAUGGAAUAAUAAUUUAGGACUUUGGUCUUAUUUUGUUGGUUUCUAGGACUAAAGUAAUGAUUGAUAGGGACAGUUGGGGGUGCUAGUAUUCAGCGGCCAGAGGUGAAAUUCUUGGAUUCGCUGAAGACUAACUUAUGCGAAAGCAUU
rnacentral:rRNA from 1 species